CAUGAGCCUGAGAGGGUUUGAGCUGGAAAAGGCCGUUGGGUACCCACCCUUCCGGGAGAGGCGUCGACGAGCUGAGGUGAGGGCUGUCCAGACGCAAGGUCUCCGGAGAAGGAGGGCGCUUGAGCAUCGUCAAUUUCCUAAGCUUAGGUUUGACCUGUGAAAAGAAUUCUGAUACAUUACUACAAUGGCCACUGCUCAGCUCUCUCACUCUAUCAAAAUUCACAAAGCAUCUAAGGAAACCGUUUUUCCAUCCCAAAUCACUAAUGAGCAUGAGUCAUUGAUAAUGGUGAAGAAACUUUUUGCUACUUCUAUCUCAUGUAUAACAUAUCUAAGAGGCCUGUUUCCAGAGAGCUCUUAUGGAGAACGCCAUUUGGAUGACCUCAGUUUAAAAAUCCUUCGAGAAGAUAAAAAAUGUCCUGGGUCACUGCAUAUUAUCAAAUGG